rnacentral:rRNA from 1 species
GAUGAACGCUAGCUACAGGCUUAACACAUGCAAGUCGAGGGGUAACGAGAGGAAAGCUUGCUUUCCUUGUCGACGACCGGCGCACGGGUGAGUAACGCGUAUCCAACCUGCCCCCAACUAGGGAAUAACCUUGCGAAAGUAAGACUAAUACCCUAUAAUUUCCUCAGAUGACAUCUGACGAGGAAUAAAGAUUUAUCGGUUGUGGAUGGGGAUGCGUCUGAUUAGCUUGUUGGCGGGGUAACGGCCCACCAAGGCAACGAUCAGUAGGGGUUCUGAGAGGAAGGUCCCCCACAGUGGGACUGAGACACGGUCCAAACUCCUACGGGAGGCAGCAGUGAGGAAUAUUGGUCAAUGGGCGGAAGCCUGAACCAGCCAAGUAGCGUGCAGUAUGACGGCCCUAUGGGUCGUAAACUGCUUUUAUACAGGAAUAAAGUUAGCCACGUGUGGUCAUUUGUAGGUACUGUAUGAAUAAGGACCGGCUAAUUCCGUGCCAGCCGCCGCCGUAA